rnacentral:rRNA from 1 species
UGCCAGCAGCCGCGGUAAGACAGAGGGUGCAAACGUUGUUCGGAAUUACUGGGCGUAAAGCGUGUGUAGGCGGCYRSGYAAGUCGGAUGUGAAAGCCCCGGGCUCAACCCGGGAAGUGCACYCGAWACUGCKWRGCUCGAGUACCGGAGAGGUUGGUGGAAUUCUCGGUGUAGAGGUGAAAUUCGUAGAUAUCGAGAGGAACACCGGUGGCGAAGGCGGCCAACUGGACGAGUACUGACGCUGAGACACGAAAGCGUGGGGAGCAAACAGGAUUAGAUACCCUGGUAGUCCACGCCGUAAACGAUGGGUGCUAGGUGUCACGGGCUUUGACUCCYGUGGUGCCGUAGCMAACGCAUUAAGCACCCCGCCUGGGAAGUACGGCCGCAAGGCUAAAACUCAAAGGAAUUGANCGGGGGCCCGCACAAGA